rnacentral:rRNA from 1 species
GGCAACCUCGGGCAGUGGCGGACGGGUGAGUAACGCGUAGGAAUCUGUCUUUGGAUGGGGGACAACCGUGGGAAACUACGGCUAAUACCGCAUGAUGCCUGAGGGCCAAAGCUCGCGAGAGCGUCUGAAGAGGAGCCUGCGUCUGAUUAGGUAGUUGGUGGGGUAAAGGCCUACCAAGCCUGCGAUCAGUAGCUGGUCUGAGAGGAUGAUCAGCCACAUUGGGACUGAGACACGGCCCAAACUCCUACGGGAGGCAGCAGUGGGGAAUAUUGGACAAUGGGCGCAAGCCUGAUCCAGCAAUGCCGCGUGGGUGAAGAAGGUUUUCGGAUUGUAAAGCCCUUUUGGCGGGGACGAUGAUGACGGUACCCGCAGAAUAAGCUCCGGCUAACUUCGUGCCAGCAGCCGCGGUAAUACGAAGGGGGCUAGCGUUGCUCGGAAUGACUGGGCGUAAAGGGCGCGUAGGCGGCUUGUACAGUCAGGCGUGAAAUUCCUGGGCUCAACCUGGGGACUGCGUCUGAUACGUGCUGGCUUGAGUAUGGAAGAGGGUCGUGGAAUUUCCAGUGUAGAGGUGAAAUUCGUAGAUAUUGGAAAGAACACCGGUGGCGAAGGCGGCGACCUGGUCCAUUACUGACGCUGAGGCGCGAAAGCGUGGGGAGCAAACAGGAUUAGAUACCCUGGUAGUCCACGCUGUAAACGAUGUGUGCUGGAUGUUGGGGUGCUUAGCACUUCAGUGUCGUAGCUAACGCGGUAAGCACACCG